AAGCUUUUAAAUAAUUAUAAAAAAUAUUAUCCUCUUGUAAUGUAGUGUAAAAGCUGCUUACAUGAUAGUUUAACAUUAAACAUAAUAACUUAUAUUAUAUAAUAUGGCAAUAAAAAUUUUGUUACUACUUGAUAAUGUUAUUAUUAGUAAUAUUAACAUAUAUACUAAAGGAACUCGGCAAAAUAGCCACUCAACUGUUUAUCAAAAACAUAGCUAUAUGAGUUAAUAUAUAGUUAUUUCUGCUCAAUGAUGUUUAAAUAGCCGCAGUACUCUGACUGUGCAAAGGUAGCAUAAUCAGUUGGCUUUUAAUUGGAGUCUGGCAUGAAAGAAAAUAUGGGUAGCAACUAUCUUAGUGUAUUUAUUUGAAUUUAUUAAACAAGUGCAAAUACUUGUGGUUUAACAAUAGACGAGAAGACCCUAGAAACUUGAAUUAGUUUUUGUUGGGGCGACAGGAUUACAUUUAACUAAUCUUAUAUACAUGACGCAAUGUGGAAAGUAUAAGUUACUCUAGGGAUAACAGCAUAAUUUUAUUAGUUUGUGACCUCGAUGUUGGACUAGGUACUUUACCCUUAAGACAGGGGUAUAUUAUGCUCUGUUCGAGCAGCAGUUACCUACAUGAUCUGAGUUCAGACCGG
rnacentral:rRNA from 1 species